rnacentral:misc_RNA from 1 species
GUUCAAGCCUUGAAAUUAGUAUGUGAUGAAUUUGAUGAUACACGAGGGCCUAUGUCACGAAGUUGCAGCCAGGAGGACCUUUCUAUGACAGAUACUUCACUAGUCCAUAAAUCAAUUCCAGGUUUUGAUUCUCCUUUAAAUGUCCAAAUGGAAUUAUCAGCUUCAGAGUUAAAGAGUGCAUCAGCUAGAUAUGGAACAGUGGAAUCCGAGUCUUUUAGAAGACAAUUCAAUUCUGCUCCUUUGAAAAUGGGAAGAAAAAGGAAUUUCUGGCAAAGGUUGAGAGUUCUUUCAAGUGGCAGCAUGAGUGAACAUAGUUUUUCAUCAAAAACAUGAUGAGAACUUUUAGCCACAAACAUUAAGUCCUACAUUAUAUUAGAACAUAUAAUUGUUGUUCAGUGUUCUUGUUCAUGGAGUUAUCUUAUUUUGUCUGUAGAUAUUACCGUAAGAAGAUUUGAAC